AAUUCUUUAUUAUUUUUGGAUUUUUUUAUUUUUAAUUUUUUAUUAGGAUAUUAUUUUAAAUUAUUUCUUAUAAGAAAUAAUGUUUUAAUUAGUAUUAUUUAUAAUUGUAAUUUAGGAACUCGGCAAUUUUAAAUUUUACCUGUUUAAUAAAAACAUGUCUUUUUGUUAUUUAUUUAAGGUCAGGCCUGCCCAAUGAUCUUUAUUUUAAUGGCUGCAGUAUUUUAACUGUACAAAGGUAGCAUAAUCAUUUGUUUAUUAAUUUUGGACUAGUAUGAAAGGUUUUAUAAGAGUUAAUCUUUCUUGAUUAUAUAAUUGAGAAAUUAUUUUUUAAGUUAAAAAACUUAAAUUUUUUUACGGGACGAGAAGACCCUAUAGAGCUUUAUAACUUUAAAAAUAAUUUAUUUUUAAAGUUAUUUAAUUGGGGUGAUUAAAAUUUUUAUUAAACAAUUUUUUAUUUAUUUCAAUAAUUUUUGAUUUUUAUGAUCCAGUUUUUUGAUUAUAAGAUAAAGUUACCUUAGGGAUAACAGCGUAAUUUAAUUGGAGAGUUCUUAUCGAUAAUUUAAGUUUGCGACCUCGAUGUUGAAUUAAGAUUAAUUUUUGGAGUAGAUUUUUAUAUUUUUUGGUCUGUUCGACCAUUAAUUUCUUACAUGAUUUGAGUUUAGAUCGGCGUGAGCCAGAUCGGUUUCUAUCUAUAUUUAUAUAUAUUAUUUUUUAGUACGAGAGGACCAAGAAUUUAAUAAAUAUUUU
rnacentral:rRNA from 1 species